rnacentral:sRNA from 1 species
CCAGAGCGUGGCGUCAACGUAUCAACUACCGUGCGGUAUUGACUGACACCAGUCCUGCUGCUUUACACUUAGCCUAUAUAGGACGAAGAGGGUGUCUCUCCAAAGUAGACUCUGAAUUCUUCUGAUCUUCCACUAGAUAGCAGCCUGGACUUAACCAUGAAGUCAACUCUGCUAGUCAUCUUGAUCGUUUGUCUGUUCACGUCGUCCGUUGUCUGUCAAUCAUUUAUCGGAGGUUGUAAUGGUGGAAUAGAUCACUGUAAUGAAUGGACAUUAGGCAGCGACAAUGUCUGGGGGCAAUGCAAGGACAGGUGUAUUAAAGAAGGAUUCAAGUUUGGUAGAUGUUCAACAUCGCCGACUUGCCCCGCUGAUCAGCCCUAUCAGUGUCGAUGUCAUUAAAUUGGUUGCCUUCAAACAGUGCAUUUUUAGCUGGAAAGUAAAAGUCUAAAACUUAA